rnacentral:ribozyme from 13 species
AAAGAAAGCGCAAAUAAAAUAAUCCAUGGACAGAUCCAAACUAUGGAGGCUAAUAUCAAUACUGCAACAAUUUGUACUGCUUCGUUCAUUUGUUCCUUUUCUUUUUCCUUUUUGUUGUUAUUGCGCUCAUUUUG